rfam:Picea glauca, whole genome shotgun sequence.
AUCAGAGUGGCGGAGCGGAAGCAUGGUGGGCCCAUAACCCACAAGUCCAAGGAUCGAAACCUUGCUCUCAUA